rnacentral:rRNA from 1 species
UACGAAGGGGGCUAGCGUUGUUCGGAAUUACUGGGCGUAAAGCGCACGUAGGCGGCUUUGCAAGUCCGAUGUGAAAGCCCUCGGCUUAACCGAGGAAGUGCAUCGGAAACUGCAGAGCUUGAGUACUUAAGAGGAUCGCGGAAUUCCCGGUGUAGAGGUGAAAUUCGUAGAUAUCGGGAGGAACACCAGUGGCGAAGGCGGCGAUCUGGGAAGAUACUGACGCUGAGGUGCGAAAGCGUGGGGAGCAAACAGG